rnacentral:ncRNA from 1 species
CUUAUUGAUGGCUCAGCAAUAAAGUACUUUGCAAGUAUGCACAACAUUUCAACCCCUUAUGUAAUUAGUGCAUUAAUGCUUUACCCCAUGAAUAAUGUCCA